GGCCUCGUAGCUCAGCUGGUGGGGAGUGUGUGCUGUACAAAAGCGUAGGCGGCGUCCAUGCGUGGGUUCGAAUCCCGCCGAGGUUA
rnacentral:tRNA from 1 species